CCGUUCCUCCUUCCCUGCGCCGCUCCUCUCCUCCCCUCGCUGCACCCAGCCACCGUCGCCAUGAUCGCCGACAUCCGCGCGCUCUCCGACCUUCCCGCCACCUAGGAGCUCAUCCAUCAGCUCCGCCGGGAACCUCUGCUUCAUCUACGACCACAGGAUCAACCCGGAGAGCCCACAGCGCCAGAUCCGUCCUCUUCCUCCCCGUCGGUCGCCAACGUUCAUCGUCGUGCUGCUACUAAGCCACCCAGCGAGCCAUCUUGAGCUCCACGAUUCCAAGGGCGCGACAAGCGAUUAACAGAUGAUCAUGGAACCUUCCAAUCAGAGAGAUCUGCAUCCUCCCUGUCAUCUAAUAAUCUUCUGCUCUUCAUUGGUUCUGAGAAAGCAUUAAGGAGAUUAGGAGAAGGGGAGGCGUUAAUUCAAUUCAUGGUGUUGGCUUCUCAUUUGUGCUGACUAUUGUGGCAUUCGUACAAAUUCACAUUAUGCCAUAUGAUAUCCAGAUGCUUUUCUGAUCUGUAUUGAACAUGUUUUACACGCCUUAUAUGGUGACAUGUCUUGCCAAAAGCAUUUCUCUAGUAGUAGUGAUGAAAAUAUGGGGAAAAACAUGUAUAGAUGAACACGUAGAAUUCCCAAAAAAUUCGGUUGACAAUUUUCUUACCGGACGAGUAGCUCUUUCAGGAAACACUGCAAGUGGCAAUAUAUAGUAAAUGUUUGAAAUUGUCUUGGUCGAUAAAUAAAUUGUAGAGUUAGUUUUAGAAUUCAAAGAUAAUGGAUCUAUCUAUUCCAUCUACUGAAUAUUUACUUUGGUCUUGACAUACAAAAUAUUUUCAGUUCAUGUGUGUCAAGAGAAAAAAAGAACAAGGGCCCCUUG